AAGUAGAAAGCGAAAAUUGCAAUCAGUUUCGACCUGAAAUACUUGGUGUUAAAGCACCUCUACUUA
rnacentral:tRNA from 1 species